rnacentral:rRNA from 1 species
GUCGAGCGGUAGAGAGGAGCUUGCUUCUCUUGAGAGCGGCGGACGGGUGAGUAAUGCCUAGGAAUCUGCCUAGUGGUGGGGGAUAACGUUCGGAAACGGACGCUAAUACCGCAUACGUCCUACGGGAGAAAGCGGGGGACCUUCGGGCCUCGCGCCAUUAGAUGAGCCUAGGUCGGAUUAGCUAGUUGGUGAGGUAAUGGCUCACCAAGGCGACGAUCCGUAACUGGUCUGAGAGGAUGAUCAGUCACACUGGAACUGAGACACGGUCCAGACUCCUACGGGAGGCAGCAGUGGGGAAUAUUGGACAAUGGGCGAAAGCCUGAUCCAGCCAUGCCGCGUGUGUGAAGAAGGUCUUCGGAUUGUAAAGCACUUUAAGUUGGGAGGAAGGGUAGUAACUUAAUACGUUGCUACUUUGACGUUACCGACAGAAUAAGCACCGGCUAACUUCGUGCCAGCAGCCGCGGUAAUACGAAGGGUGCAAGCGUUAAUCGGAAUUACUGGGCGUAAAGCGCGCGUAGGUGGUUCAGUAAGUUGGAAGUGAAAUCCCCGGGCUCAACCUGGGAACUGCUUUCAAAACUGCUGAGCUAGAGUACGGUAGAGGGUGGUGGAAUUUCCUGUGUAGCGGUGAAAUGCGUAGAUAUAGGAAGGAACACCAGUGGCGAAGGCGACCACCUGGACUGAUACUGACACUGAGGUGCGAAAGCGUGGGGAGCAAACAGGAUUAGAUACCCUGGUAGUCCA